AAUGAACGUUGGCGGCAUGGAUUAGGCAUGCAAGUCGCGCGAUAUUUGUAGCAAUACAAUGAAAGCGGCGAAAGGGACAGUAAUGUGUGGGUAUCUACCCUGGGGUCGCGGAUAGCGGCGGGAAACUGCCGGUAAUACGCGAUGAUCUCCCCGGAGCAAAGGUGUGAUUCCGCCCUGGGAUGGGCCCACAUGCUAUUAGCUAGUUGGUGAGGUAACGGCCCACCAAGGCUAAGAUGGCUAGCGGGUGUGAGAGCACGACCCGCGUCACUGGGGCUGAGACACUGCCCAGACACCUACGGGUGGCUGCAGUCGAGAAUCUUUGGCAAUGGGCGCAAGCCUGACCAAGCGAUGCCGCGUGCGGGAUGAAGGCCCUCGGGUUGUAAACCGCUGUCGAGGGGGAUGAAGUUACGGUGGGUACUCCCAUCGUAUUGACAGAUCCCUGGAGGAAGGGUGGGCUAAGUUCGUGCCAGCCGCCGCUGUAACAC
rnacentral:rRNA from 1 species